rnacentral:rRNA from 1 species
GACGAACGCUGGCGGCGUGCUUAACACAUGCAAGUCGAACGGAAAGGCCCUGCUUUUGUGGGGUGCUCGAGUGGCGAACGGGUGAGUAACACGUGAGUAACCUGCCCUUGACUUUGGGAUAACUUCAGGAAACUGGGGCUAAUACCGUAUAGGAUCUCCUGCUGCAUGGUGGGGGUUGGAAAUUUUCGGCGGUUGGGGUUGGACUCGCGGCUUAUCAGCUUGUUGGUGGGGUAGUUGCAUACCAAGGCUUUGACGGGUAGGCGGCCGGAGAGGGUGACCGGCCACAUUGGGACUGCGAGACGGACCAGACUCGUACGGGGGGCAGUAGUGGGGAAUAUUGUACAAUGGGAGGAAGCCUGAUGCAGAAACGCCGCGUGCGGGAUGACGGCCUUCGGGUUGUAAACCGCUUUCGCCUGUGACGCAGCGUGAGUGACGGUAAUGGGUAAAGAAGCACCGGCUAACUACGUG